UACCACCCUAUGGCAGAAAGCGAAGAGGAACUAAAGAGCCUCUUGAUGAAGGCGAAAGAGUGCUGCUGCAGUUUCUUGGCACUGAUUUUGAGAACCUGCAAUUACUGGACCGUGGAAAUUAUCUCUACUUCCUCGAGAAGAAAUGUGGGAAGGAACUUGCCAUGAAGUAUACAAGCAUCUGGAUCACUAGCACACUUAUUUAUUGAUUUUAUGGACCAGAGGCUCCUGAUCUCCAUAGAAACUGUGGAUCUUCUAACGUCUGAAAAAGGAUUAUCCUCUCAAUCAUGAAGGUGAAUUUGAGAAACUGAGUCGGGUAGAGCAGAGGCAGUGAAAGUAAUGAAAAAGGGAGAUUAGGGCUCAAAGCUUACUGAGGUGUGUCACAGGUGCUUGAGGAUAAAACUGCCUUCAGGGUUUCUUAAUGGGGCCUUAUUAACAUUAUGGGAGGGACAAUUUUGUAUGUGUGUAUGUGGAACUGUCCUGCCCAGUGCAGUACAUUUAGCAUUCUUAUCUCCCCUCCCGUCAAGUGCCAUCCCCAGUCAAUGUAAAUUUUUAAAUGCCCCUACAUGUUUCCAAAGGCCCCCUAGAAGGUGGUUGAGGAACACUACCAGAUAUUCUUAAUCCUUGGUAGUCUCAUACUACCAUGACGUAAACUGGUUUAGCAGAAGGGGACUAUCCUUGCUUUAGCAAGAUACAGGACAUUUCUAUCAAAGGAUCCCCUAUGUAGCCCCACUCACUUCCCUCCUAUCAUCAUCUCCACCUUAAUAUCUAGCAACAACUAAUCUGAUCUCCAUUUCUAUAAAAAUGCUAUAUAAACAGGUUAGAGUAUAUAAGCUUUGGGGAUUAGCAUUUAUCACACAGCAGAAUUCUCUGGAGAUUCAUCCAAGUUAUGUGUAUAUCAAUAGUUUGUUCUUUUUUAUUGCUGAGUACUAUUCCAUGCUAUAGAUGUACCACAGUUUCUUUAACCAUUCACUUGUUAAAGGACAUCUGUGUUGUUUCCAGUUUUUGGCUUUUCAUUAAUAGAUUUGCACAUAGGUUUUUUUGUGUGAACAUUAGUUUUUAUUUCUCUGGGAUAAAUGCCCAGGAGUGUAAACACUGGAUCAUGUAAAAAUUGCAUAGUUAGGGUUUUUCUUUAAAUAAACUUUUUUUUUUCUGUAAAUAAACUGUUUUCCACAGUGGUUGUACUGUUCUACAUUCCCACAAGCAAUGUAUGACUGAUCCAGUUUCUCUGCAUUGUUCUCACCAGCAUUUGAGAUUGUCAUUUUAAAUUUUAGCCAUUCUGAUAGGUAUGUUAUGAUAUCUAGUUGUGGUUUUAAUUUGUAUUUCCCUAAUGGCUAAUGAUGCUGAACAUCCUUUCAUGUGUUUAUUUGCUAUCUGUAUAUCCUCUUUGGGGAAAUGUUCCAUCAUGUCUUUUGAUCAUUUUCUCAUUGUAUUUUUUUUUUGGUACCAUUGAGUUAGAGAGUUCUUGUAUAUUCUACACAAUAAUCCUUUCUUGGAUAUAUGGUUUACACAUAUUUUUUCCCAGUUAGCUUGUCUUUUUCAUUCUCAUAAUAGUAUCUUUUGCAGAGCAAAUAUAUUUACUUUUGAUGACAUCUUCUUAUUCAAUUUUUCCUUUUACAGAUUAUAUUUUUGGUGUCAAAUUUUUGUCUAACCUUAGAUCAUGAGGAAUUUCUCCUCUGUUUUUUUCUAAAAAUUUUAUGCUUCACAUUUAAACUGUUGAUCCACUUUGGUGUUAGUUUUUGUAUAAAGUAUGAGACUUAGGUUGAAAGUUUUGUUUGUUUGCUCUUUAUUUGUUUGCCUAUGGAUAUCCAAUUUCUUCAGCAAUAUGUAUUGAAAAAGCUAUUCUUUCUCCAUUGAAUUGCUUUUUCACCUUUGUGAAAAAAAUAAACUGGCAUAUUUGUUUUGGUCUGCUGCUGAGUUCGCUAUUCUGUUUCAUUGAUCUGAUAUUUAUUUUUCUGCCAAUACCAUACCAUCUUUACUGCUGUAGC